UACAGAGGUCUCAAGCGUUGUUCGGAUUCAUUGGGCGUAAAGGGUGCGUAGGUGGCGCCGUAAGUCAGGUGUGAAAUUUCGGAGCUUAACUCCGAAACUGCAUUUGAUACUGCGGUGCUUGAGGACUGGAGAGGAGACUGGAAUUCACGGUGUAGCAGUGAAAUGCGUAGAUAUCGUGAGGAAGACCAGUGGCGAAGGCGGGUCUCUGGACAGUUCCUGACUCUGAGGCACGAAGGCCAGGGGAGCAAACGGG
rnacentral:rRNA from 1 species